rnacentral:antisense_RNA from 1 species
GUUGCCUCCGGGGCGGCGAGUCUGAGCUCCAGGCCCGGAACACCCCUCCCCCACCCGAGACUCCGGCUCUAAAUCUGCUUUCUCCCGGUCCCUCCGUUCCUUGAAAGUCCGGAUUCUCCUUCCAAACUGCCCUUGGAUCCAGAGACCCAGAUCCGAACACAUCGCUCAAAGACGACAAUGCUCCGAUCUAGUUCGGGAGACUACGUAUCCUAAUUUUGAUACUUCCUCCCACUUCUCCUAUUCUCCUGACUUUCAAACGCCCCUGGACUUCACCUCCAAACUCGCUGUCCGGCUCCAAGACCCGAACAUUGAACUCUUCCCGGCAACCCCCCUUCCCCAGCCAAACACGAUAAAGCCCCGAAUUCAACCCGUCCGGAAGACCCAAGUGGAAUCGAAUCUCCAGGUUCCCUGUCUCAAAAGUUCCUCCCCUCUGUUCUCUCGCUUCUUCAAACGCCCAACGUCCCAGCUUCAAACUCCCUCCACUUGAAAAUACUGCCCCAACAACCUCGCCUCCCCUCCUGGGUCUCGAACUCAGUCUCAGGUCCCCAGACCCUCCCU